rnacentral:tRNA from 1 species
GCUGAUAUGGCUCAGUUGGUAGAGCGCACCCUUGGUAAGGCUGAGGUCCCCAGUUCGACUCUGGGUAUCAGCACCA